GUCCGGCUGCGGGCCUCUAGGGGUUUCGUCGCUGUAACUGAGCAAUCAGGGACAUGCAAAUUUAUUUGCAAAAUAUUAUGGGAUGCUACAAUGUGGAGAAGAAUAUUCAAUAUCCAAAAGUUUAAUUCCCGUCUAUCGCAAGGUGUCAGUUUACUGAACAUGUACUGUUGGAAAGAGAACAUGUUGAAGUAAUAAUGAACUGCAAACCGCCUCAGGCUGGAAACAGAGCAGGGUCAGUGGUCGCUGAUGUUUACGGUGCGAAGAUUACGGUUGAGUUAGGCAAGAUAUUUCAGAAUCCUCUCCUGCAUGGAAGUAUGUACACCA
rnacentral:SRP_RNA from 1 species